AUUGAACGCUGGCGGCAUGCCUUACACAUGCAAGUCGAACGGCAGCACGGGAGCAAUCCUGGUGGCGAGUGGCGAACGGGUGAGUAAUAUAUCGGAACGUGCCCAGUAGUGGGGGAUAGCCCGGCGAAAGCCGGAUUAAUACCGCAUGAGACCUGAGGGUGAAAGCGGGGGAUCGCAAGACCUCGCGCUAUUGGAGCGGCCGAUAUCAGAUUAGCUAGUUGGUGGGGUAAAGGCCUACCAAGGCAACGAUCUGUAGUCGGUCUGAGAGGACGACCAGCCACACUGGGACUGAGACACGGCCCAGACUCCUACGGGAGGCGGCAGUGGGGAAUUUUGGACAAUGGGCGCAAGCCUGAUCCAGCAAUGCCGCGUGCAGGAAGAAGGCCUUCGGGUUGUAAACUGCUUUUGUCAGGGAAGAAAUCCCUUGGGAUAAUACCUCGGGGGGAUGACGGUACCUGAAGAAUAAGCACCGGCUAACUACGUGCCAGCCGCCGCGGUAAAAC
rnacentral:rRNA from 1 species